GCAUGGCUCAGGAUGAACGCUAGCUACAGGCUUAACACAUGCAAGUCGAGGGGCAUCAGGGUGUAGCAAUACACCGCUGGCGACCGGCGCACGGGUGAGUAACACGUAUCCAACCUGCCCUUUACUCGGGGAUAGCCUUUCGAAAGAAAGAUUAAUACCCGACUGGCAUAACAUGACCUCCUGGUUUUGUUUAUUAAAGUAAAUUUACGGUUAGAGGAUGGGGAGUGCGUUCCAUUAGGCAGUUGGCGGGGUAACGGGCCC
rnacentral:rRNA from 1 species